rnacentral:rRNA from 1 species
CCACGGGAGGCAGCAGUGGGGAAUAUUGGACAAUGGGCGAAAGCCUGAUCCAGCCAUGCCGCGUGUGUGAAGAAGGCCUUCGGGUUGUAAAGCACUUUCAGUGGGGAAGAAAGCCUUGGGGCUAAUACCCUCGAGGAAGGACAUCACCCACAGAAGAAGCACCGGCUAACUCCGUGCCAGCAGCCGCGGUAAUACGGAGGGUGCGAGCGUUAAUCGGAAUUACUGGGCGUAAAGCGCGCGUAGGCGGUCUGAUAAGCCGGUUGUGAAAGCCCCGGGCUCAACCUGGGAACGGCAUCCGGAACUGUCAGGCUAGAGUGCAGGAGAGGAAGGUAGAAUUCCCGGUGUAGCGGUGAAAUGCGUAGAGAUCGGGAGGAAUACCAGUGGCGAAGGCGGCCUUCUGGACUGACACUGACGCUGAGGUGCGAAAGCGUGGGUAGCAAACAGGAUUAGAUACCCCAGUAGUC